UGCGCCCCCCCCGGGGCGGGGGAGCGGGAGCGCGCAGCCGCCGCGGAGUCAACCUGGGAGGCGGAGGCCGCUCUCCUCCCCUGGCUGAGGGGCCCGGACCGGGCCGGUGGGGUGGGGUUAAGUGCGCUCCUCGUCCCCCCGCCCCGUCCCUGUGAGGCCGUCGGCUGGAGGCAGCCCCAGUUUGUUUUCACAGGUAUUCGUUCACAAGCAAAUUUUCUGUCUCCGUAAAUUUCCGCAGAGAUCACUGUGCCGAAUGCACCACGUGCAUCAAUUCAACUGCGUUAUCAGGGUCAGAAACCUUUCAAAACUCAUGUUACCCGCAGUUUGCACAGUUGAAAUGAUCAGGGUGAUAAGGAUCAUUUUUGAAUAUGAGAGGCUGUUCGUCAAUAAUGGCAUGACACUUCUGGCAAAUGUACUUUCCCAGGCCUCUGGCUUUCUCCCUGUUGUGGCAAGGACGGCAGAGAUGUCUGAAACGGGACAAAAAAGAGAGAAGACAACAGUUUUAACUUGGCAAGCACAUAGUACUGGUUUCUACUCCACUAGGACCAAGCCUUGAAGGGGCUCUAUACUCAAAGCACAACAGAACUGAUCUUGGGUGGCUGUGGACGUCCUGCAGAAAAAAACCCACAGAGUCAAAAUGCAAAGCUGCAGUGAAGCUUCAGAACAGCCAAUCCAACAUAUGCGAAUUAUGGCUUACCACAAGGAGUCCUGUCCUGUGAGACAUUAAAAAAAUAGUGUGAGAACUACUGUUUUGCAUGUACUUCAGAGGCAGUGGAGCCAUGUCCACCACACGUGUGAUUUAGUUCUCUAUGCGGACGUUGCAGGCAAGGCCCUUGAGAUGUGCAAAAACUCUGCCUGAAAUGUGUUGGGAGCUCAGCUUCCCAGUGCUGUGGGAAGCCGAGUCCUGAUUUUGGAGAACGUACAACUCAAACAGCUGCCAAAGGCCAGCAAUUGGGCAGGUAACCGAUGCAGAUGAUGACAUCCAGCAUGCAACCCUCUGGUUGGUGCUCCCAUGAAGUUGUAGCUUUUCAAGAACAAAACCCAAUGGACUACAGAAAUGUCAGGAAUGCUGGAGGCCUCAUCGCUAACAACAGCCCCGCCUAUUUUGGCUGUGCUUACUAAAUCCAAGCAGUUGCAAAGCCCAGCUCUGCACAGGACCUUGAGGAGGUUUUAAGGGAGCUGGUGCUGAGGAGCCAGGGCAGGAGCAGUGGGAGCCGUGCCAGCUGGGCAGGAGAAAUCCUGGAGAUAGGCAGCAUAGCUCCCCAGAAAUCACCACCGACCCUUUUCUUCCUCUUCCCCAGCUUGUUCACAUCCGCAGCUUUAAAUUCAAAGGUCCAUAACAUCUGCUUCCCCCUCCCUUGGUGUUCACCCUCUCCCUCCACUUGGGAAAGCCUCACUGAGGAAUGGCCCAGCAUGUUGGAGGAAGCAAGUACGGGGGAGGAAGAACACCCAGGGACAGAAAUCUUUGCAAUUUAUGGAGCAAUACAGCCAAAACAUGAAGGGAAAUAAGACUUUUCUUUCAUUAUGCUUAUUUCAUAGAAUUAUAAAAUCAUUUAGGUUGGAAAAGACCCUUAAGCUCAUCGAGUCCAGAUUUUAAGGAUCAAAGUUCACUACACUGACCAGAUGAAACAGGGAACCAAUCUUAUGGGAUUUGGAUCUGAAUCUUCUCACAGCUUAAAGAAGUUCAGCUGCAGUUCAAGCUCACAUAGAAAAAAACCCAUAUGGCAACAAAAAAGUACUACAGCACUGCAUUAGCAACUUAGCUGGAGAAUAUGUAAAAACACGUAGGCAAGUACAUCCUGAAAUGAAGAGAAAUGUUUAGAUACCUUCAGGCACAUCAUUACUAGACACACAUGCCAACUAGCAUGUCAAAACCAGACAGACAAUAUUAGGUAUGCUAUGGGAUGUUUGGAUUUGAAUGUCUCAGUUUAAAACACUGGAAAAAGGGGGAUAGCAGGAAGCCCCACUCCUUUCUUUUUACUGGGUCUAACACAAAACAAAGCAGAUAGCAUAAAAUAACUACCCACAAAUAAAGUUUUGGUGCACAGACAGAAAAUACAGCGAUGUCCUUCAAGAUAGCCUGCUUUAUACUAUGAAAUUCCAAGGAUCGAACACAAUAUAAACAUAGUAAUUAGUUGUGCAAUAUACAGAGCCACUGGCAGGGAUGGGAAUCUAAUGAAACACUCUAGAAGUCACUGGAUACUUGAGAUCAGAAAAUUUAAUUCCUGUGCCCAACCUGAAUUGCACCUACUAGGAACAGAAAGACCUGUGCUUGAUAUAGACUCUUCCAGAAGUCUCUGCUAGCAAUUUAUCAAGUGUUUUUCCAGUGUAAUACUCUAAACCAGACAACUUUCUAAAUUGGAGAAUUAUCUAUUUAAUUAUUUAUUUAUUACAGAGGGCUAUUACUUUCUCAAAGUGUAAUGGAAAUUACUGGUUCAUUGAGAAUUGUGCUUGCUUCCUGCUGGAUAAAAUCCUUUUUAAACUGAAAAAAAUCCAAAAGCUUCCUGUUUUGUGUAAACAGGUGGUCCAAUGGGAGAUACUUGGGUUUGCUUGGGUUUCAGAGUGACCACAUGUUGAUUGGGGCAGACCAAACAGGUUUUCUUCCCCUCUGGUUUGCAUCAGGCAGGUUGGUUGCCUUUCAGUCUCAGUCUUGUUUAUAUUGUCAGUGUUCUCGGCUCAUUUGUGCUGCCUUUUGCGGAUGACCCAGCAGCUCAUCCGUCAAAAAAGCCUUGAGCUUCUAUAACAAAUCCCACAGCACAUACUUUAAAAGCAAGGUCAUUUGACUGUUGUAUGCUGUAGGUCCAUGAGUUAAAUGCAUAGAAUAUUUCACCACAACAUAACCUGUAGACAAUCUCCAUGGUUUUAGCUAACCUACUGGAAAGACACGCUCAAAAACUGAGUCUUUAAAGACUCCUCCUCUAAGGCAGUUUCUGGUAAAGCUCAUUUUAAGAAAACACUCCAGGUGCAACUGGAAUAGAAACAAAUCUGACAAGCGCAUUGCAGCUGCACCUUCCUUUAAUCUUCCUAUAGGUUAUUACAAGCAUCUUAGAAAAAACCCAAAACUAAAAGAAACUCCAUCUCAUUCAGGAGACAAAAGUCACGUGCCAUUCCGUUUAUUUCAUUUUAUGAUAUAUUGAUAACAACAACAACAAUAAUAGCGAUACGGAUUCUCCAAUUAUAGCUCUUAUGAGUACUCCAUAAGGAUUUUGCUGUAUUUCUUCUAUUGUGGGAUGCACAUCUCUAGGCUCUUCCAUCUCCCUCACCCCAGCACAGCGCAGACAAGAGCAGGUUGGGCUUCUUCCAAAUACACCCAGCAAGAGGCUCUUAACUAACAGCUGGAUGAGGGGUAGGAGUCAUCUCUCUUAACCUCCCCUGUCUGAAGGUGAGGUGCCUGCAGUCCGCAGUGGGAGAGAGAGGCAACC